GAGCGCUUGGGUCUCCAAUAGUCGAGGCUCCAAAUUUUGUCUCUAUUAAGGGUCUAGCUAGUCCACAGGAGAGGUGGUGGUUGUGGCUGCCAGAGCAUGCAUUGGGGUUCUGGUGGUAGUGUACCUGCCGCAUCUUGGUAGGUCACUGUGUGUAGCUUAAGCGUCGAGAAGCCCCACGCGCAAAGAGGACAUAAUAAGGUUCUCUGGUCCAGCCCAAGAUGUCGUUUAGUUGCUCCGAUUGAGUCAGCUAGUUUGAUUUGCGACUUGGAGACCUGGUGGGGAUUGGUCAUUCCAAUGUCGAGAUAAUUUUUUUGCAGGUUAUGAAUUUAUUGAUCCAGUUUUUUCUACCAUCGCAUCCCGUUUUUCUUCGGAGGAUGUUUGUUUUGUCGGUGUCAUCAGCUUUUGACGAUAUUGCUAUCCUCUGCUGAUAGUCUGGUGUUUGUAGUGCUUCCUUGAUCGGAUCAAUUACAAGGAUGGUGAAUUCAUCAAGAUUCAGCUACUCCGGCAGGAAAGGAACUAAGACGGUGAUGGUCUCUUAGGCUCGGGAAGGUAAAACCGUGAUAAUUUCACCUUUUCGGGCUAUCUUUACUACAAUUGAGAACGGUGGGCAAUUCUGUGAUAUCUGAAACCGGCUAGUGAAUUGCGCCGGUUAAGUUUGUGUAAAGGGAUCUAAUUGGAGAUGAUUUAAAGCGGUUAUUUUGUUGUAUUCAAAAUUAUAAGCGAUACCGAAUUUUCGAUUUGCCGGUUAUUAAUUAAUAGAAUUGUUUUUAAAA